rnacentral:rRNA from 1 species
UGGGGAAUAUUGGACAAUGGGCGCAAGCCUGAUCCAGCCAUGCCGCGUGAGUGAUGAAGGCCUUAGGGUUGUAAAGCUCUUUCGCCGGUGAAGAUAAUGACGGUAACCGGAGAAGAAGCCCCGGCUAACUUCGUGCCAGCAGCCGCGGUAAUACGAAGGGGGCUAGCGUUGCUCGGAAUUACUGGGCGUAAAGCGCACGUAGGCGGUUUCUUAAGUCGGGGGUGAAAUCCUGGAGCUCAACUCCAGAACUGCCUUCGAUACUGGGAAACUUGAGUUCGGGAGAGGUGAGUGGAACUGCGAGUGUAGAGGUGAAAUUCGUAGAUAUUCGCAAGAACACCGGUGGCGAAGGCGGCUCACUGGCCCGAUACUGACGCUGAGGUGCGAAAGCGUGGGGAGCAAACA